CUACGGGAUGCUCCAGUCGAGAAUCUUCGGCAAUGGACGAAAGUCUGACCGAGCGACGCCGCGUGCGGGAUGAAGGCCUUCGGGUUGUAAACCGCUGUCAGAGGGGAUGAAAUUUUGACAUAUCCUCAGAGGAAGGACGGGCUAAGUUCGUGCCAGCAGCCGCGGUAAGACGAACCGUCCAAACGUUAUUCGGAAUCACUGGGCUUAAAGGGUGCGUAGGCGGCUGAGUAAGUUGGGUGUGAAAUCCCUCGGCUCAACCGAGGAACUGCGCCCAAAACUACUAAGCUUGAGGGAGUCAGAGGUGGGCGGAACUCAGGGUGUAGCGGUGAAAUGCGUUGAUAUCCUGGGGAACACCGGUUGCGAAAGCGGCUCACUGGGGCUCUACUGACGCUGAGGCACGAAAGCUAGGGGAGCAAACGGGAUUAGAUACCCGCGUAGUC
rnacentral:rRNA from 1 species